rnacentral:RNase_P_RNA from 1 species
UAUGGUCAGCCAGGCAAUCGCUGUAAUUCAUUCACGAAUUAUGGAGGAAAGUCCGAACUCUUUCCCAAGACAUCGGUGAUGUUUUGGGAUGGGCACAGUGCCGGAUAACAUCCGGGGCGAGCAAUCGUACGGAAAGUGUCACAGAAAAUAUACCGUCCCGAUGCAAAUCGGGAUAAGGGUGAAAAGGUGCGGUAUGCAAGUAAGCAUACAUAAUGUAAGAGCGCACCGCAAUGGUAGUAAUAUCAUUGGUCCUAACAAGGAUGGCGUUUUUAACGUCACACGACAAACCCCACUGAGAGCAAGACCGCGUAAGUUUCGUUUUCCGUUUACGGAAAGAGAGAAGCCCGCUCAAUUCUUUAUUGAGACGAAACGGGUAGGUCGCAACAAGAAUGCAGUAAUGCAUUCUGCAGAUAAAUGAUUGCCUCCCCUGCUUGCAGGGAAGACAAAAUUCGGCUUAUCGGCAGCCAUACACU